rfam:Ixodes scapularis strain Wikel colony gcontig_1108379798360, whole genome shotgun sequence.
UAAAAGGCCCUUCUCAGGGCCCCCAUAUUUUGCAAACGGAGCCGUGU